rnacentral:rRNA from 1 species
GAUGAACGCUGGCGGCGUGCCUAAUACAUGCGAGUCGAGCGAACGGACGAGAAGCUUGCUUCUCUGAUGUUAGCGGCGGACGGGUGAGUAACACGUGGAUAACCUACCUAUAAGACUGGGAUAACUUCGGGAAACCGGAGCUAAUACCGGAUGAUAUUUUGAACCGCAUGGUUCAAAAGUGAAAGACGGUCUUGCUGUCACUUAUAGAUGGAUCCGCGCUGCAUUAGCUAGUUGGUAAGGUAACGGCUUACCAGGGCAACGAUGCAUAGCCGACCUGAGAGGGUGAUCGGCCACACUGGAACUGAGACACGGUCCAGACUCCUACGGGAGGCAGCAGUAGGGAAUCUUCCGCAAUGGGCGAAAGCCUGACGGAGCAACGCCGCGUGAGUGAUGAAGGUCUUCGGAUCGUAAAACUCUGUUAUUAGGGAAGAACAUAUGUGUAAGUAACUGUGCACAUCUUGACGGUACCUAAUCAGAAAGCCACGGCUAACUACGUG